rnacentral:rRNA from 1 species
UACGUAGGUGGCAAGCGUUAUCCGGAAUGAUUGGGCGUAAAGGGUGCGCAGGCGGAACCAUAAGUCUGAAGUAAAAGCCAUCGGCUCAACCGAUGUAAGCUUUGGAAACUGUGGAUCUGGAGUGCAGGAGAGGACAGUGGAAUUCCAUGUGUAGCGGUAAAAUGCGUGGAUAUAUGGAGGAACACCAGUGGCGAGGGCGGCUGUCUGGCCUGUAACUGACGCUGAGGCACGAAAGCGUGGGGAGCAAAUAGG